rnacentral:ncRNA from 2 species
CCGUGGAACUGGGGGAGUCGGCAGCCGCCGGCUGAGAGGAGCUCGGAAGAGCUCGACCCCGGAACCUGAUCCGGAUCAUGCCGGCGCAGGGAAGGGCCUCCCGACGACU